rnacentral:lncRNA from 10 species
AGCACCAGGGAGAGCUGCCUGUGCCUGGCAGAAGCUGCCCAUGCCCCACUGAUACCCCACAGUACUUCCUGUUCUGCUUAGUACUCCUGCUUCUUUCUACAAACAACUGUGAUUCUCUACCUGGGAGCUUCCUCUGGCCACAGGAGCCUGCUCACCUGAUUGGGACACCCUAGCAGUACUGUGCUUCCUGGAAUCAUCUCCCUCAUCAAUCAUUUGUUCCUAAAUUCUGUCUGAGUCUGUUUCUGAGGAAACCCAACCUGAGUCAUCGUCCCUCUUCUCCCCUCCUCACAUUCUCUUCACUGGGGGAGGAUGGAUUGAGUUGACUGGCAAAUUCGGGAGAAGGAGUUUGCAUCGGAGUGCGUGACUCAGCUGAGGCUGGGCUCUGUUUCUUCAGAAUGAAGUGCAUUCAGAUUCGAUGUGUAUCCUGUCUCUGGGAAGCCCCAUGCUCUGCUCAUCUUAGCAUGAUUACUAAGGUACACUCUGCCCUUGCAAGGGGAAGGCCCGAGAUUUGCUGCUGGCAGGCUCAGUGGGAGUUGGAUGUUUUAUGUAACCUGAUUGUGGAUAUAGAUCAAUUCAUGCUUUUCAAUUCAGUCCUCUCUCUAAUAAACUGCUGUCAUAA